rnacentral:rRNA from 1 species
GACGAACGCUGGCGGCGUGCUUAACACAUGCAAGUCGAACGGAAAGGCCGUAAUUUCUUGGGCUUCCGGGUGGCGAAUGGGGGACGUAAGAGGAAGAUACCGGGCCCUGGUUUUUGGGUUAGGUUAAGGAAGGGGGGCUUAAACCAGUAUAGGAGACCAUCUACCAGGGAGGGGAUGGGAAAUUUUAGCCGGUUGUGAUUGAAUCAGCGGCUUACGAGCUUGUUGGUGGGCGAGUGGCUUACCAAGCCUUUGACGGAUCGCCGGCCUGAGAGGGUGACCGGCCACAUUGGGACUGAGAUACGGCCCAGACGCGUACGGGAGGCAGCAGUGGGGAAUAUUGCACAAUGGGCGGAAGCCUGAUGCAGCAACGCCGCGUGCGUGAUGACGUCCUUCGGGUUGUAAACCGCUUUCGCCUGUGACGAAGCGUGAGUGACGGUAAUGGGUAAAGAAGCACCGGCUAACUACGUG